rnacentral:tRNA from 1 species
UGGGUUAUAGCUCAGCCGGUAGAGCAGGGAUCUCAUAAAUCCUCGGUCACGGGUUCGAGUCCCGUUAGCCCAACCA